CCCCCUCUCUUCUCUAAACUAAGCAUGCUAACGGUAACCCUUGUGAUUCAACGUAGGGUCACUCAGGCAAUACGUCGAACACUUACAAUUCCAUUCUCACCGCUCAAUCAAAUCCUUUUUAAUUUCAACUUUCUGUGUACCCAAGCACCUUUAAAUUUUCCCGAGAAAAUUUUGGAGUCAAAAGAAGGAAAACCCAGUUGCUUGUCUUAUAGGAUUGAGAAGUUGCCGAAGGGUGAGUCUGUUGGGUUAGCAUUUCAAAGCUGGAUGGGUGAUGGGUUUCCCAUUCACAGAGGCGACAUUUUCCACGCCAUUAACCGUCUCAGGAAGCUCAAGUUGAACAAACGCGCACUUGAGGUAAUGGAAUGGGUGAUCAGGGAAAAGCCUUACAGGCCCAAGGAACUAGACUACUCUUAUCUUUUGGAAUUUACAACCAAAUUUCAUGGGAUUUUGCAGGGUGAAAAACUCUUCUCUUGUGUCCCUCCUGAGUUCCAGAAUGAUUUGCUCUACAAUAAUCUUGUGAUUGCAUGCUUGGAUAAGGGGUCAAUAAGGCUUUCACUUGCAUACAUGAAGAAGAUGAGGGAUUUGGGUCAUCCCAUCUCACACUUGAUCUUCAACCGCCUCAUAAUCCUCCAUUCCUCCCCAAGCCGUAAGAAAAUCAUCCCCAAAAUCCUCACUCAAAUGAAGGCUGAUAAGGUGACUCCACAUGUCUCCACCUAUAACAUUCUUAUGAAAAUGGAGGCUAAUGAACACAAUAUUGAAGGGUUCAUGAAGGUAUAUGGUGACAUGAAACGUGCAAAAGUUGAGCCUAAUGAAGUAUCUUAUUGCAUAAUAGCUACUGCACAUGCAGUGGCAAGGUUGUACCCUGUGGCUGAAGCCUAUGUUGAAGCAGUGGAAAAGUCUGUUACAGGGGAUAACUGGUCAACUCUAGAUGUUCUAAUCAUAUUGUAUGGGUAUUUAGGGAAGGGAAAGGAGCUAGAGAGAACAUUGGGCAUUGUGCAAGAACUCCCCCAUGUUAGGUCUAAAAGUUACAUACUUGCAAUUGAAGCAUUUGGUAGAAUUGGACAGCUGAGUCGGGCUGAAGAGCUUUGGUUAUAUAUGAAGUCGGUAAAAGGGUUAAGAUCAAGUGACCAGUUCAACUCUAUGAUAUCUGUAUACUGCAAACACGGGUUGAUUGAUAGAGCAUCUAGGCUUUUCAAGGAAAUGGAGAUGAUUGAGUGCAAGCCAAAUGCCAUAACUUAUCGACAUCUUGCUUUGGGUUGCUUGAAAGCAGACUUGGUGGAAGAAGCCUUGAGAACUCUAGAAUUGGGGAUGGAUCUAACAGCGAGCAAAAGAGUCAGGCAUUCUACACCAUGGUUGGAGACCACUCUUUCAAUAGUUGAGAUUUUUGCAGAAAAGGGUGAUUUGGUGAAUGUGGAGAAGUUGUUUGAAGAGCUUACAAAAGCUAGGUAUACCAAGUAUACAUUUGUGUACAAUACUUUGCUCAAGGCAUAUGUGAAGGCCAAGAAAUAUGAUCCAAAUUUUUUGAGAAGGAUGAUUCUAGGAGGUGCUAGGCCAGAUGCUGAGACUUAUAGCCUGAUGAAACUUGCUGAGCAGUUUCAGAGCUGAUAUUAAUCUGUUGUAUGCUUAGUUUAUUUAUUCACGUGUCUUGAUUCUUCUCAGCACAAAGAGCAAAUCAAAUUUCUAAGUGGAAGAUAGGAAGAAGAGAGGUAGGAAAUUAGGGAGGAUCAUCUGGUACAUUCUGAUUACAGUUAUGAUUAAUGUGAAGAUUCUGAGAGAAUAAUAUGCUCAAUAUUACUUCCUGCUUCAGCUUCACUCCUUGGUUGAAUUAGGUGAAUUAUGAGAAAAUGAGUCUUGUUCGCAACCCCCCUACCCAAUUUGACACAGCCUCUCUGUCAGCCCUAUUUGACACAGACUCUCACCCAAUGUUCUCCAUUGCAGGCAACCUCAUCUCCCCCCUCCUAAUAUUCACCCCCUCUCUCCCUUCCCCCACCACCUCACUGUCUGGUUUUUCCUCCUCCACUUCCUUCCCAUGCCAAGCUGCAUUUUUGUUUUCAGCUUUCUCAGCUGGCUCUCUCUGUUCCAAGCACUGACAGGUUGUUGGAGGCAGAGCAAUCGACCACUUUUUUCAGUCCUAUAUUCCUAACGCUGUGAUAUCAAAUUCAACUUUUCACUUUACCAUGCUUGGACCCAUCUAUUAAGUGGAAAUCUAGGAGCAACCUGUAUGAGGUGAAUUAAUCCCAUUAUUUUAUUUCCACUGUAUAUUUUUUUUGCGGAUAGAUCUAAUUGCGGUAAUAAGUUUGUAUGUGUAUUGGACUGGUUCUUCCCAAAUUCCUAAAGAUAAAUAAAUCAAAAGAUUGCUUGGUCGUUUGAUAAAA